GUUUCUUCUAACGUUCCCCACCUUUGUGGUUUCGGUUCCGCUUUCCGAGCGGAAAAUUUGAAGGAAAAAAAAAAAAUUAUUGGAUUCCUCUACGUGCAAACCCGUAAAUAAAUGUGAAAAGGAAAAGGAUCUUCAAUAAUAAGUUAGCUAUUUCAGUUUGAUUUCCUUUGGGCAAGCUUGGUGCAUGUUGGCAGAAUAAUGACCACUUUUUUUGGCGAUGAGCUAUUAAAUGCCUGGGGAUCAGUAGUUCUCUGCACCUCCAAGAGGCAUCCAGCUGACAACUGACAGUGGAGCUUGUUGAAGAAUCAUAUUGCUCUUAUGCCAAAUCUAAGUGGAUACCAAGUAAAAAAAAUCUCAUCCUUAAAACAAAUGAACAUUAUUCACAAAUACUUUGUUACUUCUCAGUUAAAAUUAAUAGUAUGAAGGAUUUUCUCUUCUGUUCUGUUAUAGAUCACAAAAUUGAAUGCUUAGCAUGAAAUUUAAUGUCUAAAAAUUUAAUGAUUAUCUUC